GCUGAUAUGGCUCAGUUGGUAGAGCGCACCCUUGGUAAGGGUGAGGUCCCCAGUUCGACUCCGGGUAUCAGCACCA
rnacentral:tRNA from 2 species